ensembl:lincRNA
UAAAGAGAAGUUUUGAAUAAAAAAUAGAUUAAUCGUUUUUAUGUGCUGCUUUUACCAUCUCCAGAACACAAUACCUGACACCACGAGAGGAGGAGAAGCUUAACUUGGCUCGCAAUUCACUCCUUGACAAGGCAGAGGCAUCACGGGGGGAAGGGCGCGGCUGAGCGAAGGCUCAGCUCCAGGCUGCCAGAAGCAGAAGCUCAGCUGGAAGCAGUGCAGUGCAGCAGUGCGGACAGGAGGGAGGGAGGAUCCAGGUGCAGCUCGGAAAUUCACAGCUUCAUGGCCGCCCAGAGUAAAACUCCCCAACCGACUCCCAUGCUAAUCAAGUCGACAGUUAUGCUUUCCUCAAGGAAAACAGCAAAGAAGAUUGUAAUGAUUCCCAAUCUCUUUUGGUGGUUCUUAAUUAUAGACAUCAUAACACAGGAGUAGAAAUCACUAGAGAAUUUGGAAGGCUACAGAAGAAGUGUUUUUAAGAAGAUUGAAGCAGUCAUCAGCAGGAGAGUUGAUUAGGAAGCCCAAAUUCUUGCUUCCCAAGGAGCCCGCAACUCAACAAUACAGGGACCAAUUCCCUCGGUGAGAAAUCCAGAUGCCAAUUCACAGGUUCCUCGACCCCAACCGAGCACAAAACCAGCUGCCUCAAAGCUAUGCAGUCUGAAAACGUGCUCGCUCAUCUUCUUCGGUGCCACACAAUUGAGAAAUCCCCAGCGUCCAGCUUCACAGAGAGGAGAUGGAGACACACGUCCAGGGUCCAGAGCUUGACAGCCUGAAACUGCGCACUGACAGGAAAGGGCACUGGUGCAAGGGCUGCUGAGAACGGAGCUAACCGUCUGGAGCACUCAUUUGCUGUCAUUCCUCUACUUGGUUCCAUGAAGAACAAGCAGGAGGAAAAUCCCUUCUGAUUUCCUCUUGGAGAGGAAAAGAGUCAGAGCCCAAAGUCCACUUCCUGGCUUCUCCGGGGAUCCUUGGCUGAAAUGCAGCACUCAGAAUGUCUGGAACACUCUGGAUGCCAACGUCUCCUGAGAACAAACUAGAAAGAGGCAGUUGACAUGGCAACAGAACGCAUGGAAUAGAAGUCUGAGGCUGUUAGGCUCAACAGCUUUUCUUUUGGGAUGGCUGGGGUGGCUGGGGCAAAUGAUUGAUUUGAAAUAUUUUCAGGGUAACCUAUCCUGCCUAUCUCAGAGUGCUGAGGACAUAUUCCAGUAGCCUGGGGUCACCAAAAGCAGCAGAGAUCCCGGUGGUCUCUGGAAGCUACCGAGAACAUUUAGUAUUGCAGACAAAUGUGAGAGGGAGCAGGAGAUUAAAAUCCCUUUAAUUGGGAUUUCAUCCAUAUUUCUAUGAACACACAUUUGUUGAAAGGUUUGAGACAUUCCAGAAGCUCUACUUGGAAUCAUAGCUAAAAUUUUUCUGUGUAUAAAGCCAGCCUAUAAACUGGCAGUACUUAUUUCUUGGUGCAAAGGCUUGGGUGAAAUACAACCAUACUAUAACUUUCUAAUGAAAAUUUGUGGCAAGGGUGUGGGGUUGGUACCAGAGAUCAAAUUCUGGCCCUUGUGUUUGCAAAACAGGCAGCGGAUCACUGAGCUAAAUCCCCAGCCCUAUAAUGAAAAUAUUUACUUUAACAUAACAGAAGAUAGCUGUGCACCACAGUAGCUGCAUUAUUAGAAAGACAGGAUGCAAUCUUUGUGUCUGCCCACUUGGUAGACAGACAAGUUGUACACAUGUGUGUGAAUAUCAACAGGUGAGUUUUCACCCACCUUAAUACUCCAUGUUAUACUUUUGUGCAUUUGUAAUUUGUUUUAUUAAAUGUUUUCUUUUGAUUUUUCUUGUGGAAUCAGCCCAAUUCAGUACAAUGUCACAUGAAAACCCACUUUUAUAUCUUUGGGAGGUUAAAAGUGAGUCAUCAGAUGACUACUGAUGAUGACUUGGACCAUGUGAGCCAACGAAGUUGCAAGAACUGAGACAGAGCAAGAUAUGACAGAUUAAAAAGUAAAGCAUGAAGACCUUGCUUCAGAUGAGGAAGAAAACACUAAUGUAAAUAAAUGUUUGACUGGUCAAAGCACAAUGGUUGUAUGUACCUUAAUGAUCCAUUAGAACUAAGUUGGAAACUAUUAUUAAAGCUCUUGACAGAGGUGAAAUUUGUUGAACAGAAUGGCAACACCAAGAC